CCUACGGGUGGCAGCAGUGGGGAAUAUUGGGCAAUGGGCGCAAGCCUGACCCAGCAACGCCGCGUGAAGGAAGAAGGCUUUCGGGUUGUAAACUUCUUUUGUCAGGGAAGAGUAGAAUACGAUACCUGACGAAUAACCCACGGCUAACUAAGUGCCAGCAGCCGCGGUAAUACGUAGGUGGCCAGCGUUGUCCGGAUUUACUGGGUGGAAAGGGCGUGUAGCCGGGUUGACAAGUCAGAUGUGAAAUCCUGCGGCGUAACCGCAGAACUGCAUUUGAAACUGUUGAUCUUGAGUACUGGAGAGGCAGACGGAAUUCCUAGUGUAGCGGUGAAAUGCGUAGAUAUUAGGAGGAACACCAGUGGCGAAGGCGGUCUGCUGGACAGCAACUGACGGUGAGGUGCGAAAGCGUGGGGAGCAAACAGGAUUAGAUACCCCAGUAGUC
rnacentral:rRNA from 1 species